rnacentral:rRNA from 1 species
GUGAACGCUGGCGGUAGGCCUAACACAUGCAAGUCGAACGGCAGCACAGUAAGAGCUUGCUCUUACGGGUGGCGAGUGGCGGACGGGUGAGGAAUACAUCGGAAUCUACUUUUUCGUGGGGGAUAACGUAGGGAAACUUACGCUAAUACCGCAUACGCCCUACGGGUGAAAGCAGGGGAUCUUCGGACCUUGCGCGAUUGAAUGAGCCGAUGUCGGAUUAGCUAGUUGGCGGGGUAAAGGCCCACCAAGGCGACGAUCCGUAGCUGGUCUGAGAGGAUGAUCAGCCACACUGGAACUGAGACACGGUCCAGACUCCUACGGGAGGCAGCAGUGGGGAAUAUUGGACAAUGGGCGCAAGCCUGAUCCAGCCAUACCGCGUGGGUGAAGAAGGCCUUCGGGUUGUAAAGCCCUUUUGUUGGGAAAGAAAAGCAGCAGGUUAAUACCCCGCUGUUCUGACGGUACCCAAAGAAUAAGCAACGGCUAACUUCGUG